rnacentral:rRNA from 1 species
UGAACGCUAGCGGCAGGCUUAAUACAUGCAAGUCGUGGGGCAGCAUGAGUAGCAAUACUUGAUGGCGACCGGCAAACGGGUGAGGAACACGUACACAACCUUCCUUCAAGCGGGGAAUAGCCCAGAGAAAUUUGGAUUAAUACCCCAUAAUAUAUUUGAUAAGGCAUCUUAUCAAUAUUAAAGCUUCGGCACUUGAUGAUGGGUGUGCGGCUGAUUAGAUAGUUGGCGGGGUAACGGCCCACCAAGUCUACGAUCAGUAGCUGAUGUGAGAGCAUGAUCAGCCACACGGGCACUGAGACACGGGCCCGACUCCUACGGGAGGCAGCAGUAAGGAAUAUUGGACAAUGGACGAAAGUCUGAUCCAGCCAUGCCGCGUGAAGGAUUAAGGUCCUCUGGAUUGUAAACUUCUUUUAUAUGGGACGAAAAAAGGGCAUUCUUGUUCACUUGACGGUACCAUAUGAAUAAGCACCGGCUAACUCCGUG